rnacentral:rRNA from 1 species
AUUGAACGCUGGCGGCAGGCUUAACACAUGCAAGUCGAACGAGGGGCGGACGGGUGAGAAAUGCGGGGGACUGUGGCUUAGGGAGGGGGAUAACGACGGGAAACUGUCGCUAAUACCGCGUACCAUAGGGUGAGCCCAAGGGGGAUUAGGUAGUUGGUGGGGUAAUGGCCUACCAAGCCGAAGAUCUCUAGCUGGUCUGAGAGGAUGACCAGCCACACCGGGACUGAGACACGGCCCGGACUCCUACGGGAGGCAGCAGUGGGGAAUAUUGCGCAAUGGGGGCAACCCUGACGCAGCCAUGCCGCGUGAAUGAAGAAGGCCUUCGGGUUGUAAAGUACUUUCAGCGGGGAGGCGUUACCCGCAGAAGAAGCACCGGCUAACUCCGUGCCAGCAGCCGCGGUAAUUC